UUUCAAUUACACAAGUAAUUGUGUAAUUUUUUUGUAAAUUAAUUGUGUAAACUUUUGGGUAAUAAACUACCCCCAACGGAGCUCACAGGUGGAAGCUGUACUCGAACGGGAGCAGGAGGAGGGUGGGGCGACGAACGCAGCGCUAGCGGUAAAGGAAGAGAAGGAAAAACUCGCACACCUGGACAUAAAUAGGACGCUGAACAGGUGAAUUGAAUAAACUGAACCGCCCUAGGGAGGAGUGACCGAAGUAAACGCACUGGUCGACUAGUCUGCAGUGAGCGACCUUGGGAGCAUUUCAGACAGUCAGACAACUCAUGCAGUAAAGACAUCUAUUUUCACAUUCUUUUAGUUUGGCAUAAAGCUUCGUUCAUUUACAUAAGACAAGAUCUCCAUAAAACUUUUGGGCAAUAAACCACCCCCAACACCAAAAUAUCAUCAAGGUUGAAGAGAAUAUGAGUGUAAAAUCAGUGUUUAAAAGUCAUAUAAAGUGUGUUUCGGAGGCAUUCCAUAUUCAACAGAUUUACAAGUAUGACUGCUAAGUGUGACACGGCACCUUUGAUCGCAGGGUUGCUCCCGUUCGAGUACAGCACGGGAAGGAAACAUACUAUCUAGAUAGAAGAGAAAAAGAGCCAGGCAAAUUGAACGUGGAGCCAAUGUCCACAAAGAUGCUGUAGGGAACUAUAAAUUGAAAUCGCAAUGAACCAAACCUGUAAGACGACACGAAGCUUAACUUCCAAAAUCCAAUGCUUCCACUGGCACACAAGCUUAAGUAACAUCCAAAUUCGAGCUCCAUUGCAUACUAUAAUACAAACUUAAGAACAUCCUAAAUUUGAGGCUUCCACCUGGCAACAUAUAGUAUUCAAACAUCCAUAAUCCAAGAAAUUGUUUUCCAUUCUGCUGAUAACAAAUUGGUUGAUUUAAAUCUGAAGUCUAUUUGGAACGCGAAGAAGUCCACCGCCCCAUCACUUCCAGUGCAGACACAGGUAUGUGGAGUGCAGUCAUCGUUGCGGCACCAAUUCAAGGUGUGCAGGAGUGCGAUCUGCAGGGAAGCUGCAGAGACUGUGGAACUUGGAACUGUGGAACUUAUGCUCCCAUCUUUCUUCACUCAUGAACAAGACCCCAGGAUAUUUAAACUCCUCCACCUGGGGCAGGGACACUUCACCUACCGAGAGAUGGCAAACUACAUUUCUUCGGUCAAGAACCACAGCCUCAGAUUUAACGGUGCUGAACCUCAUCCCAGCCGCUCCCCUCUCUCGGCCAAAUUAAAAACAUUUGGUCUGGACCAAAUGAUUUUUCCAGUCUGAACACACCCUUAAACAAAAGUUUUUGUCUUCCUGAAGUUGAAAGAGUUUCUGAGAAAGAUGAAGAGGAGUUUUUUUUCUAAUGGUUUUUGUUGGUCACUUUUGUCUCUUCACAUGUCAGCUCCAUGAUUAUCACUAUGCUAAUAAGAACAUGACUUGGACUGAAGAUCAGCAGCACUGCAGGGAUGAAGACACUGAUCUGGCUACAGUGAGCACCAUGGCAGAUAUGGAGGAACUCAGAGAAAUACGUUCUGGGAAGACAGAAAUGUGGAUCGGUCUGUUCAAACAAACGGGCACCAACGCUACUUCCCACUGGUCUCUGCCUGGACUGCAGUUCAAUGAAAGUCAGGCAAAAUGGAAAAGAGGGGAACCAAAUGGUGUUACAUCUGAGACCUGUGGGGCUAUA